rnacentral:rRNA from 1 species
AGAGUUUGAUCCGGGCUCAGAUUGAACGCUGGCGGCAGGCUUAACACAUGCAAGUCGAGCGGCAGCGGAAAGAAGCUUGCUUCUUUGCCGGCGAGCGGCGGACGGGUGAGUAAUGUCUGGGGAUCUGCCCGAUGGAGGGGGAUAACUACUGGAAACGGUAGCUAAUACCGCAUAAUGUCGCAAGACCAAAGUGGGGGACCUUCGGGCCUCACACCAUCGGAUGAACCCAGAUGGGAUUAGCUAGUAGGUGGGGUAAUGGCUCACCUAGGCGACGAUCCCUAGCUGGUCUGAGAGGAUGACCAGCCACACUGGAACUGAGACACGGUCCAGACUCCUACGGGAGGCAGCAGUGGGGAAUAUUGCACAAUAGGGGAAACCCUGAUGCAGCCAUGCCGCGUGUGUGAAGAAGGCCUUCGGGUUGUAAAGCACUUUCAGCGGGGAGGAAGGCAAUGGCGUUAAUAGUGUCAUUGAUUGACGUUACCCGCAGAAGAAGCACCGGCUAACUCCGUGCCAGCAGCCGCGGUAAUACGGAGGGUGCGAGCGUUAAUCGGAAUUACUGGGCGUAAAGCGUACGCAGGCGGUCUGUUAAGUCAGAUGUGAAAUCCCCGGGCUUAACCUGGGAACUGCAUUUGAAACUGGCAGGCUAGAGUCUCGUAGAGGGGGGUAGAAUUCCAGGUGUAGCGGUGAAAUGCGUAGAGAUCUGGAGGAAUACCGGUGGCGAAGGCGGCCCCCUGGACGAAGACUGACGCUCAGGUACGAAAGCGUGGGGAGCAAACAGGAUUAGAUACCCUGGUAGUCCACGCUGUAAACGAUGUCGAUUUGAAGGUUGUGGUCUUGAGCCGUGGCUUUCGGAGCUAACGCGUUAAAUCGACCGCCUGGGGAGUACGGCCGCAAGGUUAAAACUCAAAUGAAUUGACGGGGGCCCGCACAAGCGGUGGAGCAUGUGGU